CUCUAUAGUUCAAUGGAUAGAAUAGAGGUUUCCUAAACCUUAGAUGUAGGUUCGAUUCCUACUAGAGCC
rnacentral:tRNA from 1 species